GAUAUUCUUACCUGCUAAAAACGUAGCCUCUUUCCUUUAUUGACACAAAACAAAGGGCCAAAGCCCAUUACUGCCACCUACUGGUUGGAGUCUGAACAGAGUGCCUGUUUUUUUACAUUUCGUGCAAUUUUUUAACCAUGUAUGUCAAUCUAUAUUUUGCCAGUAAGUUUUACCACAGUAAUUGAUUGUGCUUACGUAAGAACAUUCAACAUUUGCGCUUUGAAUGUGCAAACUUUUCUUUAGUAGGCAUGGCAGUAGGCAUGCCGGGCACCAUAAGGUUUUAAUUAUUGUGGGAGCUUGCCUUGCUGUGUAACCUAAUGUUAUGAGAGUUGAGAGAUCCAUUCCACAUUGAACCGACAGAAAGAAGUGUACUGUAAAUGGACAGUGGAGGAAGAGAGUGGAGGAAGAGGACAUGGACGGGGGAGGUCAGGACAAGGAUGCCCGCCUGUCCAAGUCUCUGUCCUUUGCUCUGCGCCAUGGAGCCAAUCAGAUGGAACUUCACAUAAAUCCUGUUAUAAAAACAUCUUAUUUAGCUGCAUUUUGUCUCGUUUAUAAUCCCAAUGUUCCAUCAUUUCAUAUUGCUGCACAAUAAACAUGACAUGCACCCCUA